rnacentral:rRNA from 1 species
AAGACCUUACGCUUUUGGAGCGGCCGAUGUCUGAUUAGCUUGUUGGUGAGGUAAAGGCUUACCAAGGCUUCGAUCAGUAGCUGGUCUGAGAGGACGACCAGCCACACUGGGACUGAGACACGGCCCAGACUCCUACGGGAGGCAGCAGUGGGGAAUUUUGGACAAUGGGGGGAAACCUGAUCCAGCCAUGCCGCGUGAGUGAAGAAGGCCUUCGGGUUGUAAAGCUCUUUCAGCCGGAACGAAACGGUUACGAUUAAUACCUGUAACUACUGACGGUACCGGAAGAAGAAGCACCGGCUAACUACGUGCCAGCAGCCGCGGUAAUACGUAGGGUGCGAGCGUUAAUCGGAAUUACUGGGCGUAAAGCGUGCGCAGGUGGUUUUGUAAGUCAGAUGUGAAAUCCCCGGGCUUAACCUGGGAACU